UACAGAGGGGGCAAGCGUUGUUCGGAAUUACUGGGCGUAAAGGGCGCGUAGGCGGCCUGCUAAGUCGAACGUGAAAUCCCCGGGCUCAACCCGGGAACUGCGUCCGAUACUGGAAGGCUUGAAUCCGGGAGAGGGAUGCGGAAUUCCAGGUGUAGCGGUGAAAUGCGUAGAUAUCUGGAGGAACACCGGUGGCGAAGGCGGCGUCCUGGACCGGCAUUGACGCUGAGGCGCGAAAGCCAGGGGAGCAAACGGG
rnacentral:rRNA from 1 species